CUAAAAUUAAAAAUAAUACAAGUGUAACAAAGGCCAGAUGCUCCCGACUUGGGACAUGCGCAAAAUAUGUUUUUGAGAUCUCAACCCUCCCCCUAUACCUGUCGCCAAUGUAGAAAAGUAAACGCAUAACGAUACGCACAUUGAAAUUCAGUUCAAGAGCAGUCCGAGUCUGAUGUUUAAAACGCAAGAGCAAUCCGCGUCUGAUGGUUAAAGCUCAUGUAUCGAGCAUACCCAUCCCACCCAUGUUCAUGAGGGAAUAGUUAUUGACUCCGC
rnacentral:lncRNA from 1 species